GGCCCAGCCAGGUUUCCCCCGCCUUUGCAGGCCCACUUGAUUAGUUCAGCUGCCCGGGCUUCCCGCCCUCGGGGCCACGGGGAAAAGUGUGGCCUCGGGGUGGAGUUGGCGGGCGCGUGGUGAGAGCCGAGCGAAACCGCCCGGCUUUCGCAGAGUCAGGGCGUCACCGAAGGGGCACUCUCCGGCCUCAGCAACCGGCUUCCCUGCGUCCCUGGCCAGGUUCCCUUACUUCCUGGAAGUCCAGAGGUCUUCCAGUCUCGGCGUCAGACCCGCCGCAGGAAUGGUGAUUGGGAAGCGGUCCCUUCCAACGUUGGACAGCGCUCCUUUUUAAGAGAUAUUGUAAUAAUGAUAGGAUGUUGAUAGCCUCCCGUCAUCUCGAUUCAACAUUCUCCUGUGGUGGUUUUUUUUUUUUUUUCCAAAGAUCUUUGACCAUCUGACCUCAAGAAGCGUUUUUUUGAGCACUAGAUGCCAGACACAUUUGGGAAUGGAGAAUCUGCAGUAAGAUGCUCCCUGCCCUCAUCAAGAAAAUUGCAGCACAUUGAGCAAUAGUUUCAUCAGUUAUGCGACCUUGAGAAACUUCAUAUGGCCAAACUUUUUUUUUUUUUUUUUAAUAAAAUUGCAGAAAUAUGACCUACAGCACAGGGAUGAUGGCUAACAUUUGUUGAGUGUUAUGUUUUGGGCACUAUACUAAAUGUUUUGUUAUCAUGGCACUUAAUCCUCACACUAUUCUCAUUUUACAGAAACUGAAAUACAGAAUGGCAAGUAAAACGUCCAAUUGAGUGAUCAUUGUAACACAGCUAAUUAAGAGGAGCUGGGAGGUCACACCUAGCAAUCUGGCUCCAGAGCCAUGAAAGGGUAGGAUAUAAUGGAGCUUAAGAGGUCAUGUGGCUUGAAUCCAGAGUGCAUGUGAGAUAGAAGAUACAAUCUCUUCUCAGAGUUUGGGGUUUCCUAUGGGAAAUUAUUGGAUAUUCUUAAGCAGAUGACUAGUAACCAUAUAUCUAACUUUUCUGGGGAAGUCCCUAUUUAUGUAAUCUUUCCCCCAGCAUAAUGAAUAAAGCUUUUUUGUUGUGAUGCUAGGGAUUAGACCACAGGCUCAUACAGGCUAAGCAAGUGCUCUAACACUGAGCUACAUCCCCAGCCUUUUUUAUUUCAAGAUAGGUUCUAAAUUGACCUUGAAUUUACAAUCUUCCUGCCUUAGCCUCCAGAGUAGCUGAGAUUACAGGGGUAAUAAA